rnacentral:rRNA from 1 species
AGCGAACGCUGGCGGCAGGCUUAACACAUGCAAGUCGAGCGGGCCCUUCGGGGUCAGCGGCAGACGGGUGAGUAACACGUGGGAACGUACCCUUUGGUUCGGAAUAACGCUGGGAAACUAGCGCUAAUACCGGAUACGCCCUAUUGGGGAAAGGCUUGCUGCCGAAGGAUCGGCCCGCGUCUGAUUAGCUAGUUGGUGAGGUAAUGGCCUACCGAGGCGACGAUCAGUAGCUGGUCUGAGAGGAUGAUCAGCCACACUGGGACUGAGACACGGCCCAGACUCCUACGGGAAGCAGCAGUGGGGAAUAUUGGACAAUGGGCGCAAGCCUGAUCCAGCCAUGCCGCGUGAGUGAUGAAGGCGUUAGGGUUGUAAAGCUCUGUUGUCCGGGACGAUAAUGACGGUACCGGAAGAAUAAGCCCCGGCUAACUUCGUG